rnacentral:rRNA from 1 species
CUGUGCUAAUACCGCAUACGACCUGAGGGUGAAAGCGGGGGACCGUAAGGCCUCGCGCGAUUGGAGCGGCCGAUAUCGGAUUAGCUUGUUGGUGAGGUAAAGGCUCACCAAGGCGACGAUCCGUAGCUGGUCUGAGAGGACGACCAGCCACACUGGAACUGAGACACGGUCCAGACUCCUACGGGAGGCAGCAGUGGGGAAUUUUGGACAAUGGGGGCAACCCUGAUCCAGCCAUUCCGCGUGAGUGAAGAAGGCCUUCGGGUUGUAAAGCUCUUUCAGCAGGAACGAAACGGUGGCUAUUAAUACUAGCUACUAAUGACGGUACCUGAAGAAGAAGCACCGGCUAACUACGUGCCAGCAGCCGCGGUAAUACGUAGGGUGCGAGCGUUAAUCGGAAUUACUGGGCGUAAAGCGUGCGCAGGCGGUUAUGUAAGACAGGUGUGAAAUCCCCGGGCUCAACCUGGGAACUGCGCUUGUGACUGCAUAACUCGAGUGUGGCAGAGGGGGGUGGAAUUCCACGUGUAGCAGUGAAAUGCGUAGAGAUGUGGAGGAACACCGAUGGCGAAGGCAGCCCCCUGGGUCAACACUGACGCUCAUGCACGAAAGCGUGGGGAGCAAACAGGAUUAGAUACCCUGGUAGUCCACGCCCUAAACGAUGCGAACUAGGUGUUGGGGAAGGAGACUUUCUUAGUACCGCAGCUAACGCGUGAAGUUCGCCGCCUGGGGAGUACGGUCGCAAGAUUAAAACUCAAAGGAAUUGACGGGGACCCGCACAAGCGGUGGAUGAUGUGGAUUAAUUCGAUGCAACGCGAAAAACCUUACCUACCCUUGACAUGUCAGGAAGUCUGCUGAGAGGUGGGUGUGCCCGAAAGGGAACCUGAACACAGGUGCUGCAUGGCUGUCGUCAGCUCGUGUCGUGAGAUGUUGGGUUAAGCCCGCAACGAGCGCAACCCUUGUCAUUAAUUGCCAUCAUUCAGUUGGGCACUUUAAUGAGACUGCCGGUGACAAACCGGAGGAAGGUGGGGAUGACGUCAAGUCCUCAUGGCCCUUAUGGGUAGGGCUUCACACGUCAUAUAAUGGUCGGUACAGAGGGUCGCCAACCCGCGAGGGGGAGCCAAUCCCACAAAGCCGAUCGUAGUCCGGAUCGUAGUCUGCAACUCGACUACGUGAAGUCGGAAUCGCUAGUAAUCGUGGAUCAGCAUGUCACGGUGAAUACGUUCCCGGGUCUUGUACACACCGCCCGUCACACCAUGGGAGUGGGUCCCACCAGAAGUAGGUAGUCU